rnacentral:misc_RNA from 1 species
UUUGAAGUAAGAGACUUGAAAUUUAAAAUGUAUGCCUUAUAGAUGAUGAGAAGGUGUCCAAAUAACAUAUCUUUAGAAAUCAACUCCCUUUUGGGGUUAAAACAGGGGAUGGUAGGUUUACUCACUCAUCACGAAAUCUCGGGAACUAUAACACUUACAAACUUGGAAUUUGGCAGGUAGGCUUCUUAUAAGGCGUAGACAUUCGCUAAGAACGGGUUUUACAAAACUCGACCCCUAAGAGGGUAAAACGGGGUUUGGAAGUUUGUAUGAAAGUCCUAUGUUUUUGAAGUAAGAGACUUGAAAUUUAAAAUGUAUGCUCUAUAGAUGGUGAGAAGGUGUUCAAAUAAUGUAUCCUUAGAAAUCAACUCCC